UACGAACUGUGCGAACGUUAUUCGGAUUCACUGGGCUUAAAGGGUGCGUAGGCGGCCAAUCAAGUAGGGUGUGAAAUCCUCCGGCUCAACCGGAGAACGGCGCUCUAAACUGGAUGGCUGGAGUAAGUCAGGGGUGUGUGGAACUUCCGGUGGAGCGGUGAAAUGUGUUGAUAUCGGAAGGAACGCCGGUGGCGAAAGCGACACACUGGGGCUUAACUGACGCUGAGGCACGAAAGCCAGGGGAGCGAACGGG
rnacentral:rRNA from 1 species